UACGUAGGGUGCAAGCGUUGUCCGGAAUUAUUGGGCGUAAAGAGCUCGUAGGCGGUUUGUCGCGUCUGCUGUGAAAACUCGGGGCUUAACCCCGGGCCUGCAGUGGGUACGGGCAGACUAGAGUACGGUAGGGGAGACUGGAAUUCCUGGUGUAGCGGUGAAAUGCGCAGAUAUCAGGAGGAACACCGGUGGCGAAGGCGGGUCUCUGGGCCGAUAUUGACGCUGAGGAGCGAAAGCGUGGGGAGCGAACAGG
rnacentral:rRNA from 1 species